AACGAACGCUGGCGGCAGGCUUAACACAUGCAAGUCGAACGCCCCGCAAGGGGAGUGGCCGACGGGUGCGUAACGCGUGGGAACAUACCCUUUCCUGCGGAAUAGCUCCGGGAAACUGGAAUUAAUACCGCAUACGCCCUACGGGGGAAAGAUUUAUCGGGGAAGGAUUGGCCCGCGUUGGAUUAGCUAGUUGGUGGGGUAAAGGCCUACCAAGGCGACGAUCCAUAGCUGGUCUGAGAGGAUGAUCAGCCACAUUGGGACUGAGACACGGCCCAAACUCCUACGGGAGGCAGCAGUGGGGAAUAUUGGACAAUGGGCGCAAGCCUGAUCCAGCCAUGCCGCGUGAGUGAUGAAGGCCUUAGGGUUGUAAAGCUCUUUCACCGAUGAAGAUAAUGACGGUAGUCGGAGAAGAAGCCCCGGCUAACUUCGUG
rnacentral:rRNA from 1 species